AUUGAACGCUGGCGGCAUGCCUUACACAUGCAAGUCGAACGGCAGCACGGGGGCAACCCUGGUGGCGAGUGGCGAACGGGUGAGUAAUGCAUCGGAACGUGCCCAGUAGUGGGGGAUAACCCGGCGAAAGCCGGGCUAAUACCGCAUACGACCUAAGGGUGAAAGCGGGGGACCGUAAGGCCUCGCGCUAUUGGAGCGGCCGAUGUCUGAUUAGCUAGUUGGCGGGGUAAAAGCCCACCAAGGCGACGAUCAGUAGCUGGUCUGAGAGGACGACCAGCAACACUGGGACUGAGACACGGCCCAGACGCCUACGGGGGGCAGCAGUGGGGAAUUUUGGACAAUGGGCGCAAGCCUGAUCCAGCCAUGCCGCGUGCGGGAAGAAGGCCUUCGGGUUGUAAACCGCUUUUGGCAGGAACGAAACGGCGCAAGCCAAUACCUUGCGCUAAUGACGGUACCUGCAGAAUAAGCACCGGCUAACUACGUGCCAGCCGCCGCAGUAAAAC
rnacentral:rRNA from 1 species